rnacentral:rRNA from 1 species
AACGAACGCUGGCGGCAGGCUUAACACAUGCAAGUCGAACGCUCGGAGCAAUCCGGGAGUGGCGGACGGGUGAGUAACGCGUGGGAACGUGCCCUGAGGUAGGGAAUAACUGCGGGAAACUGCAGCUAAUACCCUAUGAGCCCAUAGCAAUAUGGGGAAAGAUUAUCGCCUUGGGAGCGGCCCGCGUCGGAUUAGCUAGUUGGUGGGGUAACGGCCGUACCAAGGCUUCGAUCCGAGCUGGUCUGAGAGGACGAUCAGCCACACUGGGACUGAGACACGGCCCAGACUCCUACGGGAGGCAGCAGUGGGGAAUCUUGCGCAAUGGGCGAAGCCUGACGCAGCCAUGCCGCGUGAACGAUGAAGGCCUUAGGGUUGUAAGUUCUUUUGCCCGUGACGAUGAUGACGGUAACGGGAGAAUAAGCUCCGGCU